CCUACGGGAUGCUGCAGUGGGGAAUAUUGGACAAUGGGCGAAAGCCUGAUCCAGCCAUGCCGCGUGUGUGAAGAAGGCCUUCGGGUUGUAAAGCACUUUCAGUGGGGAAGAAAGCCUUGGGGCUAAUACCCUCGAGGAAGGACAUCACCCACAGAAGAAGCACCGGCUAACUCCGUGCCAGCAGCCGCGGUAAUACGGAGGGUGCGAGCGUGAAUCGGAAUUACUGGGCGUAAAGCGCGCGUAGGCGGUCUGAUAAGCCGGUUGUGAAAGCCCCGGGCUCAACCUGGGAACGGCAUCCGGAACUGUCCGGCUAGAGUCCAGGAGAGGAAGGUAGAAUUCCCGGUGGAGCGGUGAAAUGCGUAGAGAUCGGGAGGAAUACCAGUGGCGAAGGCGGCCUUCUGGACUGACACUGACGCUGAGGUGCGAAAGCGUGGGUAGCAAACAGGAUUAGAUACCCGUGUAGUC
rnacentral:rRNA from 1 species